AAGACAUUUGAUGAAGGACAAUGUUGCAGAGAAGUAGCAAUGCAAAUACAUGCAAGAAAUAGGAAUUGUAAAAGGUGGAAGGAUGGGCUACAAAUGCUCAACUUCUACCCUUAGUUUUGGUUGAUCAUUAACUACUAGGUAGGAAUGUGUAUAUGACUUGAGUAGUUAGGAUUCAAGUGUAACUAGAAUGAAAGUGUAAAUGAG
rnacentral:lncRNA from 1 species